GAUGAACGCUAGCGGCAGGCCUAAUACAUGCAAGUCGAGGGGCAUCACGGUAGCAAUACUGGUGGCGACCGGCGCACGGGUGCGUAACACGUAUACAAUCUGCCUUUAACAGGGGGAUAGCCUUUCGAAAGAGAGAUUAAUACCCCAUAACAUAUUGAAUAGCAUUAUUUGAUAUUAAAAGCUCCGGCGGUUAGAGAUGAGUAUGCGUCUGAUUAGCUAGUUGGUGAGGUAACGGCUCACCAAGGCGACGAUCAGUAGGGGAUCUGAGAG
rnacentral:rRNA from 1 species